CGGCUGCUAAUACCCCAUAUGCCGCGAGGUGAAAUGAAUUUCGCCUGAGGAUGAGCUCGCGUCUGAUUAGCUAGUUGGUGUAGGUAAUGGCUCACCAAGGCAUCGAUCAGUAGCUGGUCUGAGAGGAUGAUCAGCCACACUGGGACUGAGACACGGCCCAGACUCCUACGGGAGGCAGCAGUGGGGAAUUUUCCGCAAUGGGCGAAAGCCUGACGGAGCAACGCCGCGUGAGGGAUGAAGGCCUCUGGGCUGUAAACCUCUUUUAUCAAGGAAGAAGAUCUGACGGUACUUGAUGAAUAAGCCACGGCUAAUUCCGUGCCAGCAGCCGCGGUAAUACGGGAGUGGCAAGCGUUAUCCGGAAUUAUUGGGCGUAAAGCGUCCGCAGGCGGCCCUUCAAGUCUGCUGUUAAAAAGUGGAGCUUAACUCCAUCAUGGCAGUGGAAACUGUUGGGCUUGA
rnacentral:rRNA from 1 species